AACUUGAGAGUUUGAUCCUGGCUCAGAACGAACGCUGGCGGCAAGCCUAACACAUGCAAGUCGAACGGACAAUUAUUUAUAGCCUCUGGCUAUAGGAAAUUGUUAGUGGCAGACGGGUGAGUAAUGCGUAGGAAUCUACCUAGUAGUACGGAAUAGCCAUUAGAAAUGGUGGGUAAUACUGUAUAAUCCCCGAGGGGGAAAGAUUUAUCGCUAUUAGAUGAGCCUACGUUAGAUUAGCUAGUUGGUGAGGUAAUGGCUUACCAAGGCUAUGAUCUAUAGCUGGUCUGAGAGGACGAUCAGCCACACUGGAACUGAGAUACGGUCCAGACUCCUACGGGAGGCAGCAGUGGGGAAUAUUGGACAAUGGGCGAAAGCCUGAUCCAGCU
rnacentral:rRNA from 1 species